AAAGAGAUCGCUGCCGAUAGUGUUUCAGCUUGACAAGUUUUGUUUUCCCUUUCACUCAGAUAUUGGGCCAACUUGUCAAUCUGGAUCACUAUUCUGCAGCCAUCCCUUU
rnacentral:pre_miRNA from 1 species